CUAUGCAGUGGAUCACUUGGCUCGGGGGUCGAUGAAGAUCGCAGCUAGCUACGAGUCGGAAUGUGAACUGCAGGACACAUGAACAUCGACAUAUUGAACGCAUC
rnacentral:rRNA from 1 species